rnacentral:rRNA from 1 species
UGGGGAAUUUUGGACAAUGGGCGAAAGCCUGAUCCAGCAAUGCCGCGUGCAGGAAGAAGGCCUUUGGGUUGUAAACUGCUUUUGUACGGAACGAAAAGGCUCUUUCUAAUAAAGAGGGCCCAUGACGGUACCGUAAGAAUAAGCACCGGCUAACUACGUGCCAGCAGCCGCGGUAAUACGUAGGGUGCGAGCGUUAAUCGGAAUUACUGGGCGUAAAGCGUGCGCAGGCGGUUCUAUAAGACAGAUGUGAAAUCCCCGGGCUCAACCUGGGAAUGGCAUUUGUGACUGUAGAGCUAGAGUACGGUAGAGGGGGAUGGAAUUCCGCGUGUAGCAGUGAAAUGCGUAGAUAUGCGGAGGAACACCGAUGGCGAAGGCAAUCCCCUGGACCUGUACUGACGCUCAUGCACGAAAGCGUGGGGAGCAAACAGGAUUAGAUACCCUUGUAGUCCCUGAGCGGGCUGGCAAGGCGCAU